AGGGGGUGGAUUCUAGAAAGAUUCAGCAGGCAGAAUAGGCAGGGCUCAAUGACUGGCUGCAGGGUGGGAUAAGGAGGAAUUGAUUUCAAGUGAGUCCUUGCAGAGCUGGGGCUCCAGGACUGUCCCCAUGGAGUCUCACUCCCCUCCCCCUCUUCCAAACAGGCCGGGCUGUCACCUAUUCCCGAAGCCGUUACCUCGAAUGCAUUUCCUGUGGCUCAUCAGACAUGAGCUGUGAGAGGGGCCGGCACCAGAGCCUGCAGUGCCGCAGCCCUGAAGAACAGUGCCUGGAUGUGGUGACCCACUGGAUCCGGGAAGGUGAAGAAGUCCUAGAGCUCGAAAAUCUGCCACAGAAUGGCCGCCAGUGUUACAGCUGCAAGGGGAACAGCACCCAUGGAUGCUCCUCUGAAGAGACUUUCCUCAUUGACUGCCGAGGCCCCAUGAAUCAAUGUCUGGUAGCCACUGGCACUCACGGUGAGGCCCUCUCCGAGGCUGGGAGGGAACACUUAUUGGGGGUGGAGAGUUCCGCAAGAGAUUGACUUCCAGUUAAGCUGGACUUAACCGUGGUGGGUCUCCCUGUGGAAAAGGUGGGAUUUCCUUCAGGUGAGUGAAUAUUGUUGUAAGGAACUAGGACUUGUCCAUCAGGAUGUGGACAUUU
rnacentral:sRNA from 1 species